UCUGGAGGCCGCUAUUUCGGGCUCAGCUCCUAGCGCGAGGACUAUUUUUAGCGGCGCUCGGGUAAAAAUGGACGCGGCGCAGCGCGAGUUCCAGAGGCCGUGCGCGCUCCCUCGCGAGAACUGGGGGCCCGGGCCGCGCGCACUGAGUCACCUCCAGCCCAACCGCCCCCUUUCGAGGAGCGCGGACACUCCCCCGCCCAUCUGCACGAACUCUUGGGUUCCUGGACGCCUGGAAGCCAGCGCGGCUCAGAAUAUUCCAGGACUAUCGGGACGCAUCCACCCGGGCUCAAGCGGCUGAGGGCCGACUUUUGGGCAGAGGCGCCGCGCCCCCUGGUGGCUCCUGCGGGGAUAGCAGGCAGGGGCCGGGCCAAGAGUUCACAGACCCCCCAGAUCCCCAACCUCCGCCACACACCCAUUUUAUAAAUGAGGAAACUGAGGCCUGGAGAGGAACUGGAUUGCAUCAUGAAUUGCAAGGUUGCAUUGAACACUCAGGAGAGAGUGAGAGUGAAAAAGGGAGGGCCUAGAGACAGUGUCCUAGGAACUGAACACCUCUGGGGCCAUGGGACCUGGUUCAAGAGACAGCUCUGACUACAAGCAAG